rnacentral:rRNA from 1 species
UGAGGAAUUUUCCGCAAUGGGCGAAAGCCUGACGGAGCGACGUCGUGUGUGGGAUGAAGUCUUUCGAGAUGUAAACCACUGUCAGAGGGGAAGAUAUUGACGGUACCCUCAGAGGAAGCCCCGGCUAACUACGUGCCAGCAGCCGCGGUAAUACGUAGGGGGCGAGCGUUGUCCGGAAUCAUUGGGCGUAAAGGGCGUGUAGGCUGUCUUGCAAGUCAGAUGUUAAAUCUAUCGGCUCAACCGGUAACCGCAUCUGAAACUGCAAAACUAGAGAAUGGUAGAGGUAAACGGAAUUUCCGGUGUAGCGGUGAAAUGCGUAGAUAUCGGAAAGAACACCAGUGGCGAAGGCGGUUUACUGGGCCAUUUCUGACGCUGAGACGCGAAAGCUAGGGGAGCAAACGG